UUCUCCGGAGCCUUUACAGUGUCUUUAAGCCUUUUGCAGUGACUCGAGACUAGGAAAUGUGUGCAGCAUUAAGUAUUUAAAGAUUAAUGUGAAGUCAGUCAUCUUUCUCUUGUUUUUGUUGUUUGUGGGACGUUCCAUGCACCCUUUUAUUCUUAAACACUCUGACAAUUUCAAGAAAGAACUUCCUCUGUUCCGACAAGAAGCAUAUACUUCACUCUCGAUAUAUUCACACAAUAUAUCUUACCGUAAACAGUUGUGUGACUGUAAAGAGAAUGCGACAUUAAAUGCAAUAAAACUGACGAACAAGGAAUAAAGGUUACUCGACAUAUAUUCAUAGUGCUGCGAUCUGACAAAAUUAUUACAGGAUCGAGGAAAAUGCUUUGCAGUAUUUCUUCUGACUCUAAACUUUUCAACUCCUGCUGAGAUGGACUUUGCCUUUUAUCCUUUCGCAGUCGAUAAAAUACAGUACUAGUCAAGUACUCGAGUCAAUGAUAUCGACUAACUAGUUCCUCACCAAAUUUCUGACCUUGUACCUAAAUCAGAAACCAUUAGCUAAGUUCAAAUGCCACUGAGAUCAACUUUGCCGUUCAUCCUUUCGGAGUCGAUAAAAUAAAGUAACAAUCAAAUGUUGGGUUCGAAGGAAUCGACUGGCCCCAACUCUUCUACAAA
rnacentral:lncRNA from 1 species